rnacentral:tRNA from 1 species
GUUGGGAUAGCUCAGUUGGUAGAGCAGAGGACUGAAAANCCUCNUGUCCCC